rnacentral:rRNA from 1 species
AUUGAACGCUAGCGGGAUGCCUUACACAUGCAAGUCGAACGGCAGCGCGGACUUCGGUCUGGCGGCGAGUGGCGAACGGGUGAGUAAUAUAUCGGAACGUGCCCAGUAGCGGGGGAUAACUACUCGAAAGAGUGGCUAAUACCGCAUACGCCCUACGGGGGAAAGGGGGGGAUCGCAAGACCUCUCACUAUUGGAGCGGCCGAUAUCGGAUUAGCUAGUUGGUGGGGUAAAGGCCCACCAAGGCGACGAUCCGUAGCUGGUUUGAGAGGACGACCAGCCACACUGGGACUGAGACACGGCCCAGACUCCUACGGGAGGCAGCAGUGGGGAAUUUUGGACAAUGGGGGAAACCCUGAUCCAGCCAUUCCGCGUGUGCGAUGAAGGCCUUCGGGUUGUAAAGCACUUUUGGCAGGAAAGAAAUCGCACAAAUUAAUACUUUGUGUGGAUGACGGUACCUGCAGAAUAAGCACCGGCUAACUACGUGCCAGCAGCCGCGGUAAUACGUAGGGUGCAAGCGUUAAUCGGAAUUACUGGGCGUAAAGCGUGCGCAGGCGGUUCGGAAAGAGAGGUGUGAAAUCCCAGGGCUUAACCUUGGAACUGCACUUUUAACUCCCGAGCUAGAGUAUGUCAGAGGGGGGUGGAAUUCCGCGUGUAGCAGUGAAAUGCGUAGAUAUGCGGAGGAACACCGAUGGCGAAGGCAGCCCCCUGGGAUAAUAC